CCAACGGGGGGCAGCAGUUAAGAAUCUUGCGCAAUGGGGGCAACCCUGACGCAGCGACGCCGCGUGGAUGAUGAAGGCCUUCGGGUUGUAAAGUCCGGUAAGCAGGGAAGAAUAAGCAACGGGAAAUAUUCGUUGUGAUGACGGUACCUGCCUAAAGCCCCGGCUAACUACGUGCCAGCAGCCGCGGGAAUACGUAUGGGGCGGGCGUUGUUCGGAAUUAUUGGGCGUAAAGGGCGUCUAGGCGGGGGAUUAAGUUAGAUGUGAAAGCUAUGGGCUCAACCCAUAAAUUGCAUCUAAGACUGGUGCUCUGUAGUUCGGGAGAGGAGAGCGGAAUUCCAGGUGUAGCGGUGAAAUGCGUAGAUAUCUGGAAGAACACCAGUGGCGAAGGCGGCUCUCUGGCCUAGGACUGACGCUGAAGCGCGAAAGCGUGGGGAGCGAACA
rnacentral:rRNA from 1 species